GAUGAACGCUAGCUACAGGCUUAACACAUGCAAGUCGAGGGGCAGCGGUAUCGAAAGCUUGCUUUCAGUAGCCGGCGACCGGCGCACGGGUGAGUAACGCGUAUCGAACCUGCCUCAUACUCGGGAAUAGCCUUGCGAAAGUAAGAUUAAUGCCCGGUGUUUUCAGAGUCCCGCAUGAGGCUUUGAACAAAGAUUUAUCGGUAUGAGAUGGCGAUGCGUCCCAUUAGCUUGUUGGCGGGGUAACGGCCCACCAAGGCAUCGAUGGGUAGGGGUUCUGAGAGGAAGGUCCCCCACAUUGGAACUGAGACACGGUCCAAACUCCUACAGGAGGCAGCAGUGAGGAAUAUUGGUCAAUGGGCGGAAGCCUGAACCAGCCAAGUAGCGUGCAGGAAGACGGCCCUCCGGGUUGUAAACUGCUUUUAGUUGGGAAUAAAACGGGGCUCGUGAGCCCCCUUGCAUGUACCAUCAGAAAAAGGACCGGCUAAUUCCGUGCCAGCCGCCGCAGUAA
rnacentral:rRNA from 1 species